UCACUUUUCAAUCGUUAUUAUUAUAGAUAUUAUAUAGAUUAAUAAUUGUUCUCAUUCGAUGAGCGUCCAGUGACUCUACAUUUAUCAACAUUAGGAAAGUUACCAACAUUAGAUUGCACAAUUCUUUUAUAGAGAGAGAGACUUAAGUGAGAACUCAGCUGUUCGCGUCCGUCGCGUCAUCGCGUUUCGUGUGCCGCUCUUGCGGUCCCUAUGUCAGUGUAUUUUUAAAAUUUUGUGUCGAAUAGUUAAUAAAAAUCAUCAUCAUGGUGUCCAGCACAUUUGAGCUUAACAGAUUGAUGAACGAGUUAGAGAUAACCGAACUAGAGGGUAUUAAUUCUUCGAAAUAUACACCUGCAAAAGUUUAUAUGCGACUGCUGGCUAUCUAUCUUCAUCAGAAUGAUCUGUGCAACGCAAAGUACCUUUGGAAGCGAAUUCCCGCGGACGUGAAGACCGCCCACGAGGAGCUCGGACGAGUGUGGACGGUAGGGCAAUACAUGUGGCAGCGUAACUGGCCCGCGGUUCACACGGCCCUUAACGUAGAGUGGAGCGACGACAUCAAAGACCUUAUGAUAGCCCUAAAAGACAAUGUACGAGAACGGCUAAUGAGGCUGAUAUCAAAGGCGUAUUCCUCUCUAAACUUGUCGACCAUGGCGACGAUGAGCGGAAUGUCGUUGGACGAGGCGCGGCAGGCCGCGAUCGACAGGGGCUGGAACGUUGACGGUACCAUAGUGCAGCCGUGCAAACAGAUCGACGAGGAACAGUACAAUCAAUCGGAUAAGAUCUGCCUGACGGAGGAGCAGCUGCAGAAGCUCACGCAGUUUGUGUCCUUCCUGGAGAAUUGAGGGGGCUCCGCUGUUCCCUGGAUCUCCCGGGUUGCCGUGCGGUCUCUGGAUGACGGACUUUGCAUAUAACUCCUCUCGCAAUCUCGCCUCGUAAUCCUAUUAUAUAAAGGAGGAAGUGCGCGCCAAAGGUAGCAUCAUCGGUGUUCGCGUUCGUAAAAUAAGCAUAUCCCAUGAGAGAAAUUGAGAGGGGAGAAUGAGGGAGAGAGGGGGGAGGAGGGAGAACGAGAGAGAAGAGGGAAAGUGACAGAGAUAGAGACAGAGAGUCUACCCACGCGAUUUGUCCGUUCGAUCGGAAGGAUAAUUCAAUGAAGCUCCUCGCAAGCGUGGAAUCAACAACUAUAUUAAUCGAUAAUCAGCUGUGCGUGCGAGAGGGCGGACUGGCAUUUGCGGAAAGGGAUCCUCCGGCAGGAGCACUCCUCUCCUCUCGUCUUGUCUCCGUUCCGUCCUUUGCCGCUCCUCUCCUCCACUCGCUGUUGAAUCCCAUGAAAAUACACUGCCGUUCGCGACCGUUCGCAUCGCUGUAAUUAUCAAAGCGGAUCGUGGCCGCAGUAAGAAUCGCGCAGGUAGCCGUUAACGUACCUCGCAGGUGGCGACAGCGCACACCUCUCUCUCUUCAGCGCGGACACGCGCGGCGUGCGAACGUGUUAUCACGCGUGGACUCUUCGUACGUAGCGUAUUUUCUUCGAGUCGAAAUAAAAGAGGAAAGGAAGUCGAGAGAAAAGUAAGAAAAAGGACUGGAACUGUUUCGAGCGGCGGAUUGCCCCGCUGGAUUUUGAUAAAGUGUGUUACAGCAGCAAGGAUCUUGCAUUCAUCACAUUGAUAUUCAUCGAAGUGAAUACUCGAUACUCGUCUACUGAAAAGCCCGGAAGCAGACUAUUUCCAGGCACCAGUUGCCGUUUUUCCCGCGCUCGUAGCACAUCGGGGGCGUAGGGUAAGUUUUUUAACCCUUUUUUUCAGUGGACGUAAAUAUGUCGAUCGCCAGAGAGAGAGAGAGAGAGAGAAAGAGAGAGAGCCGAUGGUUAACCAAACGCGUUCUAAUCUCGUUAGGCUGAAUGACGUCAGGCCCCAUCCUCUCGCGUCCUUCCAAUUUGCGGCCAUGGAUGAUUAGACAUCAUCUAUCGAUGACUUUUUUGCCGCGCGCGAAACCAGGCGAGAGCAUCGAUCGUUUUUUCUGACGGCCGGCGCGCCGCAAACGCGCGCUUCGCGUCUUAUCAAAUCUCGAAGAUCGCAAUAAUCGCCAUCUGCGAUCUCGCGUUAUCGUUGUAACUUGUAGGCCGUCGCGCCGAGUAAUAUUUAGCGAUCUCUUUAAUCGACCUGUUACAUUAAAAUAAAAAAUCCAUCGCAAAAAUGAUCGAUUAAGAAAUAUCGUCGGGUAACCCCGACUUUUUUUUUGCCAAGUGCUAAUUAUUGUUUUUGAUUAUAAUUAUCUUGACUAUAAUUAUCGCGCGUCAAGGCUUAAUUUAAUUAAAAUGCUAUGUUAAUUUCACACUAGAAGUAAAUGAUAUUAUAAAAUAAUAAUGUUCACACACUAUGUGACCUUACAGUAAAAAUCACUGAUCUAACCGAAGUGAUCGACUCAUCGGUGUCUCGUUGUUUUGCUGUUAUUAUAUACAUAUCAGUAACUUGACAUUAAAUUGAAACCGCCCAUCGUCAUCCGGUAUCUUUGCAGUAGGAGUCACAGAAAUGUCAUAUGUUCCGGUAUAUAAGAUAUAUAACUCAUUUCAGGGACAAUACUCUCUCUACGUCCUGUCUUUCUUCCACAUAAAUUUAUCUACCGCCAUAAUAUGUUAUGAUAAAUUGUGCGUUUAAAACAAAAAUGGACAGUCUCUGACGCACGCGACGUGGACGAUCUUAUCGAUGAUGUGCGUUUAGCGGAGUCGUCGUUGUCGUCGGGAUUCGUCCCGCGUUAUUAGCGAUGACAGUGGAUCUCACAAUCAGAUGAAUGGAGUCCAGGGGAAUCUGAUGGCUCCAUAACCGUCGUCGUCGUCGUCGUCGUCGUCUGUUCCGGGUGGCGGCCACCAACGUCGCGCACGACUUCUCUUCCAAUGGUUCUCACCUAUCGCAACCGCAGUUAUUUAACAAUCGUUCCGUACUGUUGCGCUUGUAAUUAGACACGAUCGUGUUAGCGAGAGAUCGGGAGGUAUGGAGGCGACCGAAUGUCGGCCACGUGUCUCUCGGCAAUAUUUUUUCUCCCCCCCUUGGCAGUAUCGUAAAUUAGUACAAAAUGUCGCAUUAGUCAAGAUUCCUUGAGAUUAGAAACGCGUCGAGUAUUAUGAAAUGCCUCUUGCAUUACGCAUUAUAUAGAAAAAAAAAA